UACGUAGGGUCCGAGCGUUGUCCGGAAUUACUGGGCGUAAAGAGCUCGUAGGUGGUUUGUCGCGUUGUUCGUGAAAACUCACAGCUUAACUGUGGGCGUGCGGGCGAUACGGGCAGACUAGAGUACUGCAGGGGAGACUGGAAUUCCUGGUGUAGCGGUGGAAUGCGCAGAUAUCAGGAGGAACACCGGUGGCGAAGGCGGGUCUCUGGGCAGUAACUGACGCUGAGGAGCGAAAGCGUGGGGAGCGAACAGGAUUAGAUACCCUGGUAGUCCACGCCGUAAACGGUGGGUACUAGGUGUGGGUUUCCUUCCUUGGGAUCCGUGCCGUAGCUAACGCAUUAAGUACCCCGCCUGGGGAGUACGGCCGCAAGGCUAAA
rnacentral:rRNA from 1 species